UAAUAUAUCUGAGUUUGUUUUAAGUUGCAUGUAUCUAUUUGCUGGGAUUUCUUGGGACUAUUUCUACUAUUUACUUGAUCCAGUUUGUUACGAUGAUGUAGAAAGCAUUUUCUGUACAUUCUCUUUUACGAUAAAUAAUUCCCGGUUUCAGUAUGUUUACAUCAUUUGCUCAUUUUAGUUCGAAGAUCUAGAAUACUGGACGGGCUUGGUUUCAGUAAUAACAAACAGAAGCAUGUAUCUAAAGACAGGAAAAAGACAGGGGAAGAGCAGAGUUGAUGUGAGGAGUUCCAAACCUUUACCAUACGGCAAUUUAGCAAAAUUGAGUCGUAAAGUCAGCUGAUAUCCUUCUUUUGGAGGCUCAACAAUCUCCACAACUUCAGCACUAAUUGCUUUUACCUUCUUUAUAGUGUAACGUGAAAGCCGAGUUGAGAUCAAGAAUGCUUGAGACAGAAUUGGGGUUGAUAUUGAUAAAAAAAAAUUGAUGUGUGCUAGUGGUUGCUUGUUGCUCUUACCUGAAUGUAAUAGUCAACGGACCCAAAUUCAUGAAGGUGAUGGUCGGCAUCAAUGGCCCGUUCAUCUCUGUCUCAAGAAUAUAAAAAAGCAUGAUCAUUCGGGACCAACUUAGCACAAACUCGGAGAAUAUGGUGGUUGGCUCAUCUCAUCUCUUUUGAGCACUUUGGUAAAUCCAGUAUAUUUGCUUGUGGUUACAAAAAAUGGCAUUCCCUCAAGUUUGUUCAAUAUUGCUGUCACUAACUGGACUGUUGAACUUGAAAGCAACAUUUGAUAGUGCAAAAAAUAAAUGUUGUCCUAGAAUUAGACUUCUACUUGUACAACGCCUUCUCUUGUCUGCCAAAUAUAACCCUUUUUCUGCACACUCAAUUUCAUUCUACUUCCACAUCAUAACAACAACAUACCCAGUGUUUCCCACAUCAUAAAUAUUCAUAUAUUCGUAUUCAUCGGCAAUGUUCACUAAUCCUGUAUUUAUGCAAAACUUAAUUGCACUUUACCUAAUGAUUCCUGCUUAAUCUGUACUAUUGCCUUAUGUUUUGUACUUUCUCCUCUUUACUUUAUGAGAUGUUCUCAAACAAGUUCUGUGAAUUUUAUUCUAGAUUUUUCUAAAGACGACUUAGGCAGAUGGAAAGAAAUCACCUAGUGUUUUUGUUUCCGCUGAUCUGAACCUGUGACCUCAUAGUUCUUCCCCCACUACAUUGACCACUAGGCCACAACCUUGAGUUUAUUUUAGUUUCUAGUAGUGUGAUCUUGAAACUUUUAGUGAAAAAGUAAUGUUCACUAUCAUGUUUUCGACAGACUAGAAUUACUAUGGAAAUUGGAAGUUGGAACUGAACUCGAAUAUUAAACAAAACCUAUUUACUAGGUCUUGAAAUUACAGAAGUUGUUAUGGCUCAUAUUAUGGCUGCCAUUCUGGAACAGGUCAUGAUUCUAACUUAUUCAAGAUAGAUAUAUAAU